rnacentral:rRNA from 3 species
AAAAGCUCGUAGUUGGAUCUCAGCUCCGGCCGGACGGUCCGCCUACCGGUGGUUACUGUUCGUCGCCGAGCGUUCAGGCGGUUAUUCUUGAUGAUCUUCACCGGUUGUCUCGGGUGACCGCCAAGUUUACUUUGAAAAAAUUAGAGUGCUCAAAGCAGGCGUGACGCCUGAAUAAUUGUGCAUGGAAUAAUGGAAUAGGACCUCGGUUCUAUUUUGUUGGUUUUCGGAACACGAGGUAAUGAUUAAGAGGGACAGACGGGGGCAUUCGUAUUGCGACGCUAGAGGUGAAAUUCUUGGACCGUCGCAAGACGAACUACUGCGAAAGCAUUUGCCAAGAAUGUUUCCAUUAAUCAAGAACGAAAGUUAGAGGUUCGAAGGCGAUCAGAUACCGCCCUAGUUCUAACCAUAAACGAUGCCAGCCAGCGAUCCGGCUGUGUUCCUCAAAUGACACGCCGGGCAGCUUCCGGGAAACCAAAGCUUUUGGGUUCCGGGGGAAGUAUGGUUGCAAAGCUGAAACUUAAAGGAAUUGACGGAAGGGCACCACCAGAAAUGGAGCCUGCGGCUUAAUUUGACUCAACACGGGAAAACUUACCCGGCCCGGACACAGGAAGGAUUGACAGAUUAAGAGCUCUUUCUUGAUUCUGUGGGUGGUGGUGCAUGGCCGUUCUUAGUUGGUGGGGCGACUUGUCUGGUUAAUUCCGAUAACGAACGAGACUCUAGCCUACUAAAUAGACGUUCCCAUCAUCUUUUGUGGGACGUUCUUCUUAGAGGGACAAGCGGCGUUUAGCCGCACGAGACAGAGCAAUAACAGGUCUGGGAUGCCCUUAGAUGUCCGGGGCCGCACGCGCGCUACAUUGAAGGAAUCAGCGUGUGCUUUCCCUGUCCGAAAGGACUGGGUAACCCGUUGAACCUCCUUCGUGCUGGGGAUUGGAAACUGUAAUUGAUUCCAUGAACGAGGAAUUCCCAGUAAGCACGAGUCAUCAGCUCGUGUUGAUUACGUCCCUGCCCUUUGUCCACACCGCCCGUCGCUACUACCGAUUGAAUGAUUUAGUGAGGUCUUCGGACUGGCGCUCGGAUUGGCCUUCGUGGUCGAGCCGGUGUGCCGGAAAGAUGACCAAACUUGAUCAUUUAGAGGAAGUAAAAGUCGUAACAAGGUUUU